GAUGAACGCUGGCGGCGUGCAUAACACAUUCAAGUCGAACGGUGAAGGGACUUCGGUCCCGGAUCAGUGGCGGACGGGUGAGUAACGCGUGAGCAACCUGCCUUUCAAAGCGGGAUAACGACUGGAAACGGUCGCUAAUACCGCAUGAUGCAUAUUGACCGCAUGAUCGAUAUGCCAAAGAUUUAUCGAUGAAAGAUGGGCUCGCGUCUGAUUAGAUAGUUGGUGGGUAACGGCCUACCAAGUCGACGAUCAGUAGCCGGACUGAGAGGUUGAACGGCCACAUUGGAACUGAGAUACGGUCCAGACUCCUACGGGAGGCAGCAGUGGGGAAUAUUGGGCAAUGGGCGCAAGCCUGACCCAGCGACGCCGCGUGCGGGAAGAAGGUCUUCGGAUUGUAAACCGCUGUAGACAGGGACGAAACAAAUGACGGUACCUGUAAAGUAAGCCACGGCUAACUACGUG
rnacentral:rRNA from 1 species